rnacentral:rRNA from 1 species
AGAGUUUGAUCCUGGCUCAGAACGAACGCUGGCGGCAGGCUUAACACAUGCAAGUCGAACGAUCCCUUCGGGGAUAGUGGCAGACGGGUGAGUAACGCGUGGGAACCUACCUUUCGGUACGGGAUAGCUCCGGGAAACUGGAAUUAAUACCGUAUGCGCCCUUUGGGGGAAAGAUUUAUCGCCGAAAGAUGGGCCCGCGUUGGAUUAGCUAGUUGGUGUGGUAAAGGCCUACCAAGGCGACGAUCCAUAGCUGGUCUGAGAGGAUGAUCAGCCACACUGGGACUGAGACACGGCCCAGACUCCUACGGGAGGCAGCAGUGGGGAAUAUUGGACAAUGGGGGCAACCCUGAUCCAGCCAUGCCGCGUGAGUGAUGAAGGCCCUAGGGUUGUAAAGCUCUUUCACC